CGUUGUCAUGGAGACACACACCACAGUUGCCGCGGCAACAAGGAGGAGGAGUACGGAGAGGGAAAGGAGACGCAGCGGCAUGCUGGACUGUGAAGGUGAAAUGUAGGCCUCACUAAAUGUGGAGUAAACGAUCGUAUGAAAGAAGAAAAGAAAAUAAAGAACUGAAAACUGCAUUUGCAUUGAGAGCUCAAUUAAAGAAAAUCACAGCACUCAGCAAAGGUAAACCACCUACGCCUGAUUCCCAAGCAGACUCAGGAAGAGAGUAGGCGUACAAAAAUUAACUCCAAUUCAGAAAACAAAUGACUCCAUUAGAUAAUUUUCAACAAUCUAAGACAAAUUCAUGAAUUUAAAGUUGGGAACAAGCAAAACAUUUCAAAAAGUUGGAGAUAUAAUUGGAAGGUAAGUCUAGAAAACUUGUAUAAAAGGACAAACCUGCAGAGAUUUUCACAAAAAUUGCCAACAUGUCAGUGAAAAAACUUAAAGAUGGAGUGCAGGUCGCUGCUUUUAGCUACAUUAAA